rnacentral:rRNA from 1 species
UACGUAGGGAGCAAGCGUUGUCCGGAAUCAUUGGGCGUAAAGCGCGCGUAGGCGGCCCCGUAAGUCCGCUGUGAAAGUCAAAGGCUCAACCUUUGAAAGCCGGUGGAUACUGUGGGGCUAGAGUCCGGAAGAGGCGAGUGGAAUUCCUGGUGUAGCGGUGGAAUGCGCAGAUAUCAGGAGGAACACCAAUGGCGAAGGCAGCUCACUGGGACGGUAUUGACGCUGAGACGCGAAAGCGUGGGGAGCAAACAGG